rnacentral:rRNA from 1 species
GAUCCUGGCUCAGAACGAACGCUGGCGGCAUGCCUAACACAUGCAAGUCGAACGAAGGCUUCGGCCUUAGUGGCGCACGGGUGCGUAACGCGUGGGAAUCUGCCCUUGGGUUCGGAAUAACAGUUAGAAAUGACUGCUAAUACCGGAUGAUGUCUUCGGACCAAAGAUUUAUCGCCCAGGGAUGAGCCCGCGUAGGAUUAGGUAGUUUGUGGGGUAAAGGCCUACCAAGCCGACGAUCCUUAGCUGGUCUGAGAGGAUGAUCAGCCACACUGGGACUGAGACACGGCCCAGACUCCUACGGGAGGCAGCAGUGGGGAAUAUUGGACAAUGGGCGCAAGCCUGAUCCAGCAAUGCCGCGUGAGUGAUGAAGGCCUUAGGGUUGUAAAGCUCUUUUACCCGGGAUGAUGAUAAUGACAGUACCGGGAAAAUAAGCUCCGCGUAACUCCGUGCCAGCAGCCGCGGUAAUACGGAGGGAGCUAGCGUUGUUCGGAAUUACUGGGCGUAAAGCGCACGUAGGCGGCUACUGAAGUCAGAGGUGAAAGCCCGGGGCUCAACCCCGGAACUGCCUUUGAAACUACCUAGCUAGAAUCUUGGAGAGGUCAGUGGAAUUCCGAGUGUAGAGGUGAAAUUCGUAGAUAUUCGGAAGAACACCAGUGGCGAAGGCGACUGACUGGACAAGUAUUGACGCUCAGGUGCGAAAGCGUGGGGAGCAAACAGGAUUAGAUACCCCGGUAGUCCACGCCGUAAACGAUGAUAACUACGUGUCCGGGCACUUGGUGUUUGGGUGGCGCAGCUAACUUAAGUUAUCCGCCUGGGGAGUACGGUCGCAAGAUUAAAACUCAAAGGAAUUGACGGGGGCCUGCACAAGCGGUGGAGCAUGUGGUUUAAUUCGAACGAACGCGCAGAACCUUACCAGCGUUUGACAUCCCGCGCUAUCCAGAGAGAUUUGGAGUUCCCUUCGGGGACGCGGUGACAGGCCCUGCAUGGCUGUCGUCAGCUCGUG